rnacentral:rRNA from 1 species
CCUACGGGCGGCAGCAGUGAGGAAUAUUGGUCAAUGGACGAGAGUCUGAACCAGCCAAGUCGCGUGAAGGAUGACUGUCCUAUGGGUCGUAAACCUCUUUUAUAUGGGAAUAAAACAGGGUAUGCAUACCCUCUUGUAUGUACCAUAUGAAUAAGGAUCGGCUAACUCCGUGCCAGCAGCCGCGGUAAUACGGAGGAUCCGAGCGUUAUCCGGAUUUAUUGGGUUUAAAGGGUGCGUAGGUGGAUUGUUAAGUCAGUUGUGAAAGUUUGGGGCUCAACCGUAAAAUAGCAGUUGAAACUGGCAGUCUUGAGUAGAGGAGAGGUGGGCGGAAUGCGUGGUGUAGCGGUGAAAUGCUUAGAUAUCACGAAGAACUCCGAUUGCGAAGGCAGCUCACUGGACUGCAACUGACGCUGAUGCUCGAAAGUGUGGGUAUCAAACAGGAUUAGAUACCCUGGUAGUC